rnacentral:lncRNA from 1 species
UUUACACAGCUACCCAGCAGGCCAGGUCACUCUGCCGCUGGGCUCUGCCUUACAUGUGGAAGUGUUGGUGGAUGAGUGAUCCAAGUUCUGCAGUUGUUCUGGAGGAUUGCUAUACCACUCACUCCUCAAACCCCGAUGACCCCAUCCGAGACUAUCUCAUUCGUUCCAGGUGUCCUUCUGCCUCUCGUCAUGUCCCGCCGUGUUCGUUUCUCUGCCCUGCUCUUUAAUCUCCAGAAUGAUCAGCCAAACCUCUUCCAUCACUGCACACUAUGCAUGUGUGACAAGAGGAUCCACAACUGUGUUCCAGUAAGUCAGACACUCAUCAAUCAACAAUCAAUGCUUUAUAUCCAAACACUGGCUAUAGGUGUCUAAUCAUGCUACCCCCUCUGCCCUCACAGCGCUGCAGACGAAGGACAUAUCGCUCUCCUGUCUACCAAGAUCCGAUCCAUUCCAUCACCAUUGGACCAAUCACGUUCAAGUGAAAAAUACAAUCCGGUAUCAGAGCAGAUGUCUCAGCACUGUGAUUUGUUUGGAAGUUAUGUUUCCUUUUUCUUUCAUCUUAGUCUUUUUAUGGGAGAACUCACAUGUUAAUGGAGUGAGAUGAUAAACACUGCAAAGUGAUGCAAGCACAUUUUAAUGAUAUCUUUAUUUUUCGAUCACCCUGUGAUAUCCUUCCUGUCUAUACAUUAUGUAGGCUAUGGUUAAUGGUGGUUCUGUUUUUAGCUAAUCAACAACAACAUGUUCAUGUCUUAACUGUAACUUGAUUUUUUGGUAGAAGAAAUGAUAAACACAUUUAAAGGUACACUAAUAACAACACAGGUUGUGGGUUUGGGGCGAUAUGGCAAACAUAUUCUAUCCCAUUAUAGCAUAUUUCUGGUAAUUCAAUAAAUAAUAGUUCAUGUGAAACAGCAACAUGUUAAAGCCUAUUUAUGUAUACUCUUCUGUGAAUUAAAAAC